UUUUAUGAUGAAUGACUUUGUCAGUUCUGCUACUGAAUGGAAGUGAAGACAAAAUUUUUCUGAUGAAA